rnacentral:rRNA from 1 species
AGAGUUUGAUCAUGGCUCAGGAGNNGCUGGCGGCGUGGAUAAGGCAUGCAAGUCGAGUGGGUUUAGACCCACGGCAAACGGGUUCAAAUAACAAAGGAAUCUACCCUGGAGUCGCGGAUAACCUAGAGAAAUCUAGGAUAAUACGCGAUACCCUCUUCGGAGGAAAGGUUUACUGCUCUGGGAGGAGCCUUUGUCCUAUCAGCUUGUUGGUGAGGUAAAAGCUCACCAAGGCUAUGACGGGUAGGGGGUGUGAGAGCAUGGCCCCCAACAUUGGAACUGAGACACUGUCCAAACACCUACGGGUGGCUGCAGUCGAGAAUAUUCCUCAAUGGGCGAAAGCCUGAAGGAGCGACGCCGCGUGCAGGAUGAAGGCCUUCGGGUUGUAAACUGCUUUUCUAUGGGAUAAAUUUCGAUGAUAGUACCAUAGGAAUAAGAGGUUACUAACUCUGUGCCAGCAGUAGCGGUAAUACAGAGACCUCAAGCGUUAUCCGGAUUUAUUGGGCGUAAAGCGUAGGUAGGCGGCCAUGUUAGUCGGGUGUCAAAGCCCUCGGCUCAACCGAGGAAAGGCAUUCGAAACGGCAUGGCUUGAGAGUGUGAGAGAUCGGUGGAAUUCAUAGUGUAGUAGUGAAAUGCGUUGAUAUUAUGAGGAACACCCAAGGCGAAGGCAACCGAUUGGCACAUUUCUGACGCUGAGCUACGAAAGCGUGGGUAGCGAAUGGGAUUAGAUACCCUAGUAGUCC